rnacentral:rRNA from 1 species
UACGAAGGGGGCUAGCGUUGUUCGGAAUUACUGGGCGUAAAGCGCGCGCAGGCGGCUAUCCAAGUCAGUGGUGAAAGCCCGGAGCUCAACUCCGGAACUGCCAUUGAAACUGUUUAGCUUGAGGAUGAAGAGUGGUGAGUGAAUUCCCAGUGUAGAGGUGAAAUUCGUAGAUAUUGGGAAGAACACCGGUGGCGAAGGCGGCUCACUGGCUCAUUACUGACGCUCAGGCGCGAUAGCGUGGGGAUCAAACAGG